GGUCAGUCCUGGUGUCGGGGGCGUAUGAUAGAACAGUGGCUGUGUGGAACAUGGAGACCCUCUGCAAGACCCUGGAGUUGAAGGGACAUGCAGAUUGGGUGACAGAUGUGGCAAUCAGUGCGGACAAAAAAUGGGUGGCCUCAGCUUCCAAGGACACCACUGUCAGGUUGUGGAAUAUAGAACACUCUGAAGAGAUACCUGCCGUUAUUGAGACUAGGAAGGCUCAGGGAAUGGGCUAUCACAUUCUCCAGGUUGGUAAUUGUACCACACACUGCUACCUUGUAGGUAGAGUGAGACCUGAUCCUAGACCACCACUCCUACCCUGAGACCUGAUCCUAGACCACCACUCCUACCCUGAGACCUGAUCCUAGAUCACCACUCCUACCCUGAGGCCUGAUCCUAGACCUGAUCCUAGACCACCACUCCUACCCUGAG